UGGGGAAUAUUGCACAAUGGGCGAAAGCCUGAUGCAGCGACGCCGCGUGAGGGAUGACGGCCUUCGGGUUGUAAACCUCUUUCAGUAGGGACGAAGCGCAAGUGACGGUACCUGCAGAAGAAGCACCGGCUAACUACGUGCCAGCAGCCGCGGUAAUACGUAGGGUGCGAGCGUUGUCCGGAAUUACUGGGCGUAAAGAGCUCGGAGGCGGUUUGUCACGUCGUCUGUUAAAUCCUAGGGCUUAACCCUGGACGUGCAGGCGAUACGGGCUGACUUUAGUACUACAGGGGAGACUGGAAUUUCUGGUGUAGCGGUGGAAUGCACAGAUAUCAGGAAGAACACCGAUGGCGAAGGCAGGUCUCUGGGUAGUAACUGACGCUGAGGAGCGAAAGCAUGGGUAGCGAACAGG
rnacentral:rRNA from 1 species